AUUGAACGCUGGCGGCAUGCCUAACACAUGCAAGUCGAGCGAGCGGCGGACGGGUGAGUAAUGUAUGGGGACUGCCCUAUAGAGGGGGAUAACUACUGGAAACGGUUGCUAAUACCGCAUACUGUCGGAUAACCCAUAUGGGAUUAGCUAGUAGGUAAGGUAAUGGCUUACCUAGGCGACGAUCCCUAGCUGGUCUGAGAGGCUGAUCAGCAACACUGAGCCUGAGACACGUCCCAGACUCCUACGGAGACAGCAGUGGGGAAUAUGGCACAAUGGGCGAAAGCCUGCAGCAGCCAUGCCGCGUGUAUGAAGAAGGCCCUAGGGUUGUAAAGUACUUGCAGUAGGGAGGGGUAACCGACAGAAGAAGCACCGGCGAACUCGGUGCAAGCGGCCGCGGUAAUA
rnacentral:rRNA from 1 species